rnacentral:rRNA from 1 species
AGUGAACGCUGGCGGCGUGCCUAAUACAUGCAAGUCGAACGAAGUGGCGCACGGGUGUGUAAUAUAUAGUUAAUCUGUCCUACUCAGAGGAACAACAGUUCGAAACGCCUGCUAAUAUCUCAUAUUGUAGGAGGCGACUAUAUCGUAUCAGUCAGUUGGUAAGGUAAUGGCUUACCAAGGCGAUGAAGGGUAACUGGUCAGAGAGGAUGAUCAGUCACAUUGGAAGGGAGACACGGUCCAGACUCCUACGGGAGGCAGCAGUAAGGAAUAUUGCGCAAUGGGGGAAACCCUGACGCAGCAUCGCCGCGUGGAGGAUGACACUUUUCGGAGCGCAAACGCCUUUGAUCAGGAAAGCGGUACCUAAUGAAUAAGCACCGGCUAACUCCGUGCCAGCCGCCGCGGUAAUAC